rnacentral:rRNA from 1 species
UACAUGGGGUGCAACCGUUGCUCGGAAUUAUUGGGCGUAAAGCGCGCGUAGGCGGUUACUCAAGUCGGAUGUGAAAGCCCUCGGCUUAACUGAGGAAGUGCACCCGAAACUGAGUAGCUAGAGUACUAAAGAGGGUCGCGGAAUUCCCGGUGUAGAGGUGAAAUUCGUAGAUAUCGGGAGGAACACCGGUGGGGAAGGCGGCGACCUGGGUAGAUACUGACGCUGAGGCGCGAAAGCGUGGGGAGCAAACAGG